GGUAUGCAAAAGACUUUGUUGUUUGUUGCAGCAGCUAUGACAGGACCAUUACUCGUUUCAGCUAUGUCGAGAGCUAUAACUGGGUCUGAACACAGAGAGUGCUGCCAGUACACUGCUCCCAGAUCCAAGGUUAACAGAAGUCAGGACAGUUCAGAUAGUACAGUGAACAGGCUAUGGGCUGGAUGACCAGGGUUUGAUUCCUUGAGGGUAAAGUGGCUGAGGCACAAAGCUGAAUGCUUGCCUCCUCCUCGUGCUGACAUUAAGAAUUUGUGGAGUGAUACGCCAAUCCCCUGUAUGUCUGCAUGGUGUUAUGCUUAGUUAAACACAAGGGCCAACUUCAUCUUCACAAGUUUAUUUCUUUUUGUAAUGAGCUGUUUUUGAGGAAAUCUAUAAAGUUUCUGAUGGAUCUUCAUGUAAAAUAAAACUGAUAAUGGACUGACA